CUCUUGAGUGUUGGUCACUUGGGGAAGAAAAUUGAAGGUAAGUUCAUGGUAGUUGGCUUCUAUCUUGAUGUUCAUGAGUUCUUCUUGAUUCUACCUUAACUCCUGAAGCAUAUUUUGGUUUUUAGUUGUGUUGUGAGCAUUUAGUCAUGAAUUAAAAUGAAGGAAAUGGUUGUUGUUUCAUGUUCUUUUGAUGAAACAAAUGGAAGAUAGGUGAAGUUGAGCCAAACAAAUGAGCAUGCAUGUGCCUUAGAUGUUAAAGGGAAAAAUCAGCUAACAUGUUGUGCUUUAAAAUGAUGAAAUGGAGAUUAUUCUUAAGUAAAAUCAUAGAUAUGUGAUGAUUGAUUGGUGAUAUACAUGUUUAAAUAACAUGCAUGCAAGGUAUGUAUGAAAGAGUGAUUUGGUAAUAAAUCUGCUUGGGACAGCAACAGUAACGUGACUUUGGAAAAUCACCAUAAAUUGUGGGAGAUGAAUUAGAAGCUGAAUAAAUUAUGUAAUUAAAGCUUAUUGAGUCUAGUUUCUAAUAAAAUAAACAAGAACAUAUUUUGAAUUCUGUACAAUGAGAAAUUUGAUUCGUAAUGAAGAGUGGUCAGAUUAGUCAAAUAGUGAAACAUGGGAAACUUUGAGAAAAUUCUGGUAUUGAUUGGAUAAACCAAAAAUUCUGAAAAUUUUAUGGAUAGAAGAUAUAUGAGUCUAUUUUCAGGGAAAAUUAACGGAACUUGAUUUGGAGUUUCGUAGCUCCAGUUAUAAAUAAUUUAGUGACUGUUGCUCAGGAAGACAGCUUGCAGUGAAAUUAUGAUUAUGUGGUAAACAUUGACAAAAAUUUGUUAAUGAGUUGCUUAUUGAUUUCUUAUAAGCUUACUAUGAUCUGUAGGUGUGGUUGGCCGAAUAUUGUAAGGGGUUAAUAUGUAGUUUGUAUUUGAAUAUUUAGAUUAACAUGUUAGUAAUCCAAUUGUAGGCGGUUCGUGUGUGGAUCUCGUCAGCAUAUCGUCGCAAACAGGUGUGUAACUAACACCCUCUUUCUUAGUCUAGAUCGGCAAAAGCCGAAAAGCUGAAAUGCCGAAAAUCAGUAUUUUGUAGAUUUGCGAGUGUGCGAAUGCUCGUGAGGUAAAUCGAUUAAUGUUUUUGGUAAGCUGAAAUGUUUGGACUGCAAAGUGCAUGAUUUCUGUGCCCUCGAUAUUUUUGGGCUUAAUGGGCCAAAAUUGGAAUGAUAGGCCAACGGGCCCAAUUCGGUAAGAACCCUCGGUACGUGAUUCUGUUAGUACGUGAAAAGUAAGAAUAUGCAUGAAAAACCCUAAAAUAGAUAAAUUACUGAAAUACCUUUAAAAGUAGAAAAUUUACAGUUUUACCCCUAGGAGAUAAAUUAUCGAAAUACCCCUAGGGUUAAAUUGACUUAAAUGCAUAUUUGACUGUUGUUAUUUACUGCAUGCCAUGUUGUUAUUAUCUGAUGCAUGGGAUUGGGAUAUUGACGGAGGAAGUACUGAAAGUGGCUUGUCCACGUACUGGCGGCUUUGCCUCAAUUUACUGUUAACUGAGCAGCAAUGCUGCAACUGUGGAGUGUUGGGCUGGGUGGGUUGAGCUAUCCCCACAUGGAGUGUAUGGCUGGUACGGGUGGAGUGUAGUGGUUGGUGGGUUGAGUAGUCUCCCCAAAUGGGCUUGCAUAUGUUAUUGAUGUUGCAUGUAUUUUGAAAUGGGCCUUUGGGCCAUACUGUUAUCUGAAUAAGGGGCUAAGGCCCAUUUUAUUGUAAUCUGAAAAGGGCUCUGGUCCAGUUCCACUGUUACCUGAAUGGGCUUAGGCCCAAUAGGCUUGAGCUGACUUGGGCUUUGAAUGGGUUUUCCUUACACACUGAGUUUCCCCAAACUCACCCCUUUUAUUUUCAUCCACGCAGGAAAUCGCCAACCAUAGUGGGCUUGGAGCUGUGAGGUAAUUCGGAGUGGCCACCCGUUUUUGAUGUGGUAUCAGAGCCUAGGUUGCAACAACUCGGCUGUGGAAUGGGUUUACAAAAAUAAAGAUUUUCGAAAACGAAAAUUUUAUAAAUAUUGCGAAAAACUCAGUUUUCAAAAUUUAGAUCUUUUGAAGGUGGCACCUGAAUCUCCGGCUCA
rnacentral:lncRNA from 1 species